AGGGGCAGCGGGGUAGUGCUUGCACUACUGCCCUCGACCGGCGCACGGGUGAGUAACACGUAUGGAACCUGCCCGCAGCAGGGGGAUAAGCGGAAGAAAUUCCGUCUAAUACCGCGUAAGAACGUUGGGAGGCAUCUCCCGAUGUUUAAAGAUUUAUCGGCUGCGGAUGGCCAUGCGGCGCAUUAGCUAGUCGGCGGGGUAACGGCCCACCGAGGCGACGAUGCGUAGGGGUUCUGAGAGGAAGGUCCCCCACACUGGUACUGAGACACGGACCAGACUCCUACGGGAGGCAGCAGUGAGGAAUAUUGGUCAAUGGCCGAGAGGCUGAACCAUUUAUGUCGCGUGAGGGAAGACGGCCCUACGGGUUGUAAACCUCUUUUGUCGGGGAGCAAAGCGAACCACGUGUGGUUCAUUGAGAGUACCCGAAGAAAAAGCAUCGGCUAACUCCGUGCCAGCAGCCGCGGUAAUACGGAGGAUGCGAGCGUUAUCCGGAUUUAUUGGGUUUAAAGGGUGCGCAGGCGGAGGUGCAAGUCAGCGGUCAAAUUGCGGGGCUCAACCCCGUACUGCCGUUGAAACUGCAUCCCUUGAGUGCGCGAGAAGUAUGCGGAAUGCGUGGUGUAGCGGUGAAAUGCAUAGAUCUCUCGAGGAACUCCGCUUGCGAAGGCAGCAUACGGGCGCGCAACUGACGCUCAGGCACGAAAGCGUGGGGUAUCGAACAGGAUUAGAUACCCUGUUAGUCCACGCAGUAAACGAUGAACACUAACUGUUCGGCCAGAAUGAUGGCUGAGUGGUACAGCGAAAGCGUUAAGUGUUCCACCUGGGGAGUACGCCGGCAACGGUGAAACUCAAAGGAAUUGACGGGGGCCCGCACAAGCGGAGGAACAUGUGGUUUAAUUCGAUGAUACGCGAGGAACCUUACCCGGGCUCAAACGACACAGGAAUACUUUUGAAAGGAGGUAGCCCUACGGGGUCUGUGUCGAGGUGCUGCAUGGUUGUCGUCAGCUCGUGCCGUGAGGUGUCGGCUUAAGUGCCAUAACGAGCGCAACCCCUAUCGCCAGUUACCAUCAAGUAAAGUUGGGGACUCUGGCGAGACUGCCGGCGCAAGCUGAGAGGAAGGCGGGGAUGACGUCAAAUCAGCACGGCCCUUACGUCCGGGGCGACACACGUGUUACAAUGGCAGGUACAGAGAGAAGCCAGGUGGUGACACCGAGCGGAACUCGAAAGCCUGUCUCAGUUCGGAUCGGAGUCUGCAACCCGACUCCGUGAAGCUGGAUUCGCUAGUAAUCGC
rnacentral:rRNA from 1 species